GCUCUGACACACCCAGACCCUUCAACUCUGUCUUAACAUCCUGGACUGCUGCCAGUCUCCUUUCUCCAGACGAAGCAGCAUAAGACCAAUCUACAAGGACUUUGGAGCUGGGUGUCUACAAGGCCAGGAGGUGAAUUUACAGAAGCCAAGAAAAGAGCCACCAGGAAGCAGUAGACCAAAGGAUUCUAGGAGCUCACACAGGACUGGGGAGAGUUCAUGGUCUUCGCAACCUGCAUGAAGAAAUUUGGUAUGACAUGCUGCUGCUGCUGCUACCAAGUCGCUUCAGUCGUGUCCAACUCUGGGCGACCCCAUAAAUGGCAGCCCACAAACUCUCCCGUCGUCCCUGGGAUCCUCCAGGCAAGAGUACUGGAGUGGGUUGCCAUUUCCUUCACCAAUGCAUGAAAGUGAAAAGUGAAAGUGAAGUCGCUCAGUCGUGUCUGACUCUUUGUGAUCCCAUGGAUGGCAGCCUACCAGGCUCCUCCGUCCAUGGAAGUUUCCAGGCAAGAGUACUGGAGUGGGUUGCAUUGCCUUUUCCUGGUAUGACAUGGGGUAUUGGCAAAAUUCUCCCAGGGGUUACACCAUCAUCUCAGGGCUAAAUUACUCCUAGAGUCAUCUUCUCUGGGCUCACUGAUAAAGAUUAGCAACAAGCCUUGAAGGGCUCAAAAUGGUGUACAAGUGAAAGUGCCAGAGAAGCAAAUACUCAUUAAAAGAAAACAAACAAACAAAAAUCUGAAUGACAUAACCCUCACAGUGAUAAGUAAAUGAUAAAGAAGUUACUUUGUUUGCAGAUAAGCAGGAAACUACACCCAAUACCCAGAGGAAAAUCAGCACCAAAAAUGACAGAGAGAAAGAAAUUAGGAGACAAGGAUCUUAAGACAACAUUUAUAAAUCUUAAAUAUGCUCAAGGAUAUAAAAGAAAACAUGGAAAAGAUCAGGAAAGAAAUGAUAAACAUGAUAAAGGACCAAAGGAAACUUUGAGAGGUGAAAAAUACGAUACAUAUACACACAAAAAUAGACUGAAUGAGAUUAACAUCAGAUCAGACACAGCAAUCACGGAAUUAAAAGAAACCUGCUCCUGGGAAGAAAAGCUAUGACAAACCUAGACAGUGUAUUAAAAAGCAGAGACAUCACUUUGCAGACAAGGUCUAUAUAGUGAAAACUAUGAUUUUUCCAGUAGUCAUGGAUGGAUGUGAG
ensembl:lncRNA